UACGUAGGAUGCAAGCGUUAUCCGGAAUUAUUGGGCGUAAAGAGUGUGUAGGUGGUUUGUUAAGUUAAAUGUUAAAUCUUCAGGCUCAACUUGGAGGCCGCAUUUAAUACUGGCAGACUCGAGGUAUGGAGAGGUAAGCGGAAUUAGUAGUGUAGCGGUGAAAUGCGUAGAUAUUACUAAGAACACCAAUGGCGAAGGCAGCUUACUGGCCAUAUUCUGACGCUGAGACACGAAAGCGUGGGGAGCGAACAGG
rnacentral:rRNA from 1 species